rnacentral:rRNA from 1 species
CAAAACAGGAUUAGAUACCCUGGUAGUCCACGCCCUAAACGAUGUACACUAGUUGUUGGGGUGCUAGUCAUCUCAGUAAUGCAGCUAACGCAUUAAGUGUACCGCCUGGGGAGUACGGUCGCAAGAUUAAAACUCAAAGGAAUAGACGGGGACCCGCACAAGCGGUGGAGCAUGUGGUUUAAUUCGAAGAUACGCGAAGAACCUUACCUGGGCUUGAUAUCCUAAGAACCUUUUAGAGAU